UUGAGAUUAAUUGUUUAUGUGAUUUAUUUUUCAAGGAUUGGGUUGAGAAUGUUUUAUAUUAUACUCUUAGCUUUCUAAAUGAUAUUAAGUUUAAGGAUAUUGAAUUCUUUUAUUUCGUUUGUUAUGUGGUUAGUCGAUGUUAUGUUGGUUUUUGAUUGUUUUAAUCGAAACGACUUAUGGAUGCUAGAACCCUAAAAUACUAAAAGAUACCCUAGACACGUAGAAUUAGACUUUGUCUUGUGACAAUUUUUCUUCACGAACUUACCGACUCUUCAUCAAUAAGGGUCCGGGCGACAGGAAAUGAAGCCGAAGAAGAAGCGACUCCACGCUAGCUUAAGAACGUUUGAGGUUGAGCAGCUGAUGGAAUGGAAUGGCGUUGAGCGGGUGUUCCUUUUACAUUUCAAGAAAUGUAACCUUGAGUAUACAUCUUCAUAUGUAUAUCUCACACGUUUUCCGCUGCAAAACACUUUGAUUAAGAUAGCUCUAUGUUAUGAAGUUGUGACACGUGUUAUUGGGUAACCCACCUUAAUCAGUUCUCCUUUAUGUGUAUGUUUUAUAAGUAUCCAAAUAAUCAUAUAUGAUCAUAGCAUUUUAUUUAUGAGUGACAUUUUCAUAUACUUUAAUGUUAAGUAAUUGUCCAUUUCCA